rnacentral:rRNA from 1 species
CAGUCGAACGGGAUUUAGUAAACAGAAGCCUCGGUGGAAGAUUACUAAUGAGACUGUCGAACGGGUGAGUAACGCGUGAGCAACCUGCCUAUGACAGUGGGAUAGCCUCGGGAAACCGGGAUUAAUACCGCAUAAAAUCGUAGAAACACAUGUUUCAACGGUCAAAGAUUUAUCGGUCAUAGAUGGGCUCGCGUCUGAUUAGCUAGUUGGUGAGAUAACAGCCCACCAAGGCGACGAUCAGUAGCCGGUCUGAGAGGAUGAACGGCCACAUUGGAACUGAGACACGGUCCAAACUCCUACGGGAGGCAGCAGUGGGGAAUAUUGCACAAUGGGGGAAACCCUGAUGCAGCGACGCCGCGUGAACGAAGAAGGUAUUCGUAUCGUAAAGUUCUGUCCUAUGGGAAGAUAAUGACAGUACCAUAGAAGAAAGCUCCGGCUAAAUACGUGCCAGCAGCCGCGGUAAUACGUAUGGUGCAAGCGUUAUCCGGAUUUACUGGGUGUAAAGGGAGCGCAGGCGGUGCGGCAAGUCUGAUGUGAAAGCCCGGGGCUCAACCCCGGUAUUGCAUUGGAAACUGUCGUACUAGAGUGUCGGAGGGGUAAGUGGAAUUCCUAGUGUAGCAGUGAAAUGCGUAGAUAUUAGGAGGAACACCAGUGGCGAAGGCGGCUUACUGGACGAUAACUGACGCUGAGGCUCGAAAGCGUGGGGAGCAAACAGGAUUAGAUACCCUGGUAGUCCACGCCGUANACGAUGAAUACUAGGUGUUGGAGANCAUUGCUCUUCGGUGCCGCA